CAUGAGUGUUCUGCAAGGAAGGAACAGUGAGAACGGCCGUCGGAACUAUUUUUAAGAAUUGCUCUUCAAUGAUCAAGUUAGAUGAUCGGAAGUUUAAGGCGUAUGUACAGAGAGAGAGAGAGAGAGAGAGAGAGGGGUAGGAUUAGCUUAGAAUAACUGAAAUUUACAUACAUGUGAAUAAAUAAGGACUGACCAUAUAUAGCAUAAUUCGGCACGUACCUGGAUGCGUCAACUGUUAUGUCACUCGACAGACUGCAGUUCGGCGAGCGUCUGGAUGUAUUGAAUAUUGUAUCAGUGAGUAGGCGGUUGACUCAAACAUGCUCAUAAAGCAAUGUUAAUAGCUAGCAUGUCAUGUAGACAGCGUCUCGAUCCAGUCGUGCAAGCUGUUAGAGGAGAUCUCGCUGUGCAAGUCACCUUAUGUUCCCUGAUGUGCAUUGCAAUUGUCUCCGACUG
rnacentral:lncRNA from 1 species